AUACGUAGGGGGCAAGCGUUGUCCGGAAUUAUUGGGCGUAAAGCGCGCGCAGGCGGUCAUUUAAGUCUUGUGUUUAAUCCCAGAGCUCAACUCUGGUACGCAUGGGAAACUGGGUGGCUUGAGUGCAGAAGAGGAGAGUGGAAUUCCACGUGUAGCGGUGAAAUGCGUAGAGAUGUGGAGGAACACCAGUGGCGAAGGCGACUCUCUGGUCUGUAACUGACGCUGAGGCGCGAAAGCGUGGGGAGCGAACAGGAUUAGAUACCCUGGUAGUCCACGCCGUAAACGAUGAAUGCUAGGUGUUAGGGGGUUACCACCCCUUAGUGCCGAAGUUAACACAUUAAGCAUUCCGCCUGGGGAGUACGGUCGCAAGACUGAA
rnacentral:rRNA from 1 species